ACGGGAGGCAGCAGUGGGGGAUAUUGCACAAUGGGCGAAAGCCUGAUGCAGCAAUGCCGCGUGAGGGAAGAAGGUUUUCGGAUUGUAAACCUCUGUCCCCUGUGACGAAACAAAUGACGGUAGCAGGGGAGGAAGCCACGGCUAACUACGUGCCAGCAGCCGCGGUAAUACGUAGGUGGCAAGCGUUGUCCGGAUUUACUGGGUGUAAAGGGAGCGCAGGCGGGAGAGCAAGUCAGCGGUGAAAUACAUGGGCUUAACCCAUGAACUGCCGUUGAAACUGUUUUUCUUGAGUGAAGUAGAGGUAGGCGGAAUUCCGAGUGUAGCGGUGAAAUGCGUAGAUAUUCGGAGGAACACCAGUGGCGAAGGCGGCCUACUGGGCUUUUACUGACGCUGAGGCUCGAAAGUGUGGGGAGCAAACAGGAUUAGAUACCCUGGUA
rnacentral:rRNA from 1 species